CGUGCCCGGCGCGGCUCUCGGGGCGCGGGGCGGAUGCGUUCUGUGCCGGCAGCUGCCGUGGCACCGAGCCUGGCCUAGGUCUGCUUUCCCUGCCCGGUACGGGGGGGAUGCACGUGUCUCAAGUGCCGUAAUAAGAGUGUAGCUUUGGCAGUAGGCAACAUAAAACCCAAAGGAUUUGUCGAGACUUUAUGAAAUAAAAAAACAUAGUAAUUUGUGGCAGAAACAUUGGAGACUUGACCAAGCUACGCUUUAUGAGG